CGGGUGAGUAACGCGUGGGAAUCUGCCUAUUAGUUGGGGACAACCUGGUGAAAACCAGGCUAAUACCGAAUGUGGUCUACGGACUAAAGCAGGGGAUCUUCGGACCUUGCGCUAAUAGAUGAGCCCGCGUUAGAUUAGCUAGAUGGUGGGGUAACGGCCUACCAUGGCGACGAUCUAUAGCUGGUCUGAGAGGACGAUCAGCCACACUGGGACUGAGACACGGCCCAG
rnacentral:rRNA from 1 species